rnacentral:rRNA from 1 species
AUUGAACGCUGGCGGCAGGCCCAACACAUGCAAGUCGAGCGAGCGGCGGACGGGUGAGUAAUGUAUGGGGACUGCCCGAUAGAGGGGGAUAACUACUGGAAACGGUGGCUAAUACCGCAUACUAUCGGAUAACCCAUAUGGGAGUAGCUAGUAGGUGGGGUAAAGGCUCACCUAGGCGACGAUCUCUAGCUGGUCUGAGAGGAUGACCGGCGACGCUUGGACUGAGACACGGCCCAGACUCGUACGGAGGCAGCAGUGGGGAAUAUUUCGCAAGGGGGGGAACCCUGACGCCGCCAUGCCGCGUGAAUGAAGAAGUCCUUCGGGUUGGAAAGUUCUUUCGGUAGCGAGGCGUUGACGACAGAAGAAGCGCCGGCUAACUCGGUGCGAGCAGCCGCGGUAAUAC